UCUUGGGCGAGUGGUCGAAGGCGCCAGAUUUAGGCUCUGGUCUUCAUUGGCGUGAGUUCGAAUCUCACAGA
rnacentral:tRNA from 1 species